CUGUUCAACUACACAAACUGUCAACACACUCUCAACAGAGGCUACACUCCAAAAGAUGAAUCAUCACUGAUUUUCUGGAGCUCAGCUAUCCAACUACACAGACUGUGAACACACUCCCAGGAGAGAACAUGUAAGUGUGACCAGCCCUGUUCAGUUAAGGAUACUUCUCUUCACCAAUGCUGUCAUAUCCUACAACAUUGUUAUCUGUAGAGAGAAACUGCCACUCAGUCAUAACAAAAUACACAUAAUGGUGGACUUACAGGCAUCAUAGAGGAUUAUGAAAU